UUCCUACGGGGGGCAGCAGUGGGGAAUAUUGCACAAUGGGGGGAACCCUGAUGCAGCGACGCCGCGUGAGUGAAGAAGUAUUUCGGUAUGUAAAGCUCUGUCAGCAGGGAAGAAGAAAGACGGUACCUGACCAAGAAGCCCCGGCUAACUACGUGCCAGCAGCCGCGGUAAUACGUAGGGGGCAAGCGUUAUCCGGAUUUAUUGGGUGUAAAGGGUGCGUAGACGGGAAGGCAAGUUAGUUGUGAAAUCCCUCGGCUUAACUGAGGAACUGCAACUAAAACUAUCUUUCUUGAGUGCUGGAGAGG
rnacentral:rRNA from 1 species